rnacentral:rRNA from 1 species
CUACGUAGGGGGCGAGCGUUGUCCGGAUUUAUUGGGUUUAAAGGGUGCGCAGGCGGCCAUUUAAGUCAGCGGUUAAAUCGUGGGGCUCAACCCCAUUCUGCCGUUGAUACUGGGUGGCUUGAUUGCGGUCGAGGUUGGCGGAAUUCGUUGUGUAGCGGUGAAAUGCAUAGAUAUGACGAAGAACACCGAUUGCGUAGGCAGCUGACCAGACCGCAAAUGACGCUCAUGCACGAAAGUGCGGGGAUCGAACAGGAUUAGAUACCCUGGUAGUCCGCACAGUAAACGAUGAAUACUUGUUUUCGGCGAUAUAAUGUCGGAGGCAAAGCGAAAGCGAUAAGUAUUCCACCUGGGGAGUACGCCGGCAACGGUGAAACUCAAAUGAAUUGACGGGG